rnacentral:rRNA from 1 species
GGGGAAUCUUCCGCAAUGGACGAAAGUCUGACGGAGCAACGCCGCGUGAGUGAUGACGGCCUUCGGGUUGUAAAGCUCUGUUAAUCGGGACGAAAGGCCUUCUUGCGAAUAGUUAGAAGGAUUGACGGUACCGGAAUAGAAAGCCACGGCUAACUACGUGCCAGCAGCCGCGGUAAUACGUAGGUGGCAAGCGUUGUCCGGAAUUAUUGGGCGUAAAGCGCGCGCAGGCGGAUUGGUCAGUCUGUCUUAAAAGUUCGGGGCUUAACCCCGUGAUGGGAUGGAAACUGCCAAUCUAGAGUAUCGGAGAGGAAAGUGGAAUUCCUAGUGUAGCGGUGAAAUGCGUAGAUAUUAGGAAGAACACCAGUGGCGAAGGCGACUUUCUGGACGAAAACUGACGCUGAGGCGCGAAAGCCAGGGGAGCGAACGGGAUUAGAUACCCCGGUAGUCCUGGCCGUAAACGAUGGGUACUAGGUGUAGGAGGUAUUGACCCCUUCUGUGCCGGAGUUAACGCAAUAAGUACCCCGCCUGGGGAGUACGACCGCAAGGUUG